rnacentral:rRNA from 1 species
AGCGAACGCUGGCGGCAGGCUUAACACAUGCAAGUCGAACGGUCCUUCGGGAUAGUGGCGGACGGGUGAGUAACACGUGGGAACGUACCCUUAGGUUCGGAACAACACAGGGAAACUUGUGCUCAUACCGGAUAAGCCCUUCGGGGGAAAGAUUUAUCGCCUUUGGAGCGGCCCGCGUCUGAUUAGCUUGUUGGUGACGCAAUGGCUCACCAAGGCUACGUUCAGCAGCUGGUCUGCGAGGAUGGCCAGCCACACUGGGACUGAGACACGGCCCAGACGCCAACGGGAGGCAGCAGUGGGGGAUCUGGCGAAAUGGGCGAAAGCUGGACGCAGCCAUGCCGCGUAGAUGAUGAAGGUCUUAGGAUUGUAAAAUCCUUUCACCGAGGACGAUAAGGACGGUACCCGGAGAAGAAGCCCCGGCUAACUUCGUGCCAGCAGCCGCCGUAA